UGGCGGACGGGUGAGUAACGCGUGGGUAACCUGCCUUACACAGGGGGAUAACACCUGGAAACAGGUGCUAAUACCGCAUAAGCGCACAGGGCCGCAUGGCCCGGUGUGAAAAACUCCGGUGGUGUAAGAUGGACCCGCGUCUGAUUAGCCAGUUGGCAGGGUAACGGCCUACCAAAGCGACGAUCAGUAGCCGGCCUGAGAGGGCGGACGGCCACACUGGGACUGAGACACGGCCCAGACUCCUACGGGAGGCAGCAG
rnacentral:rRNA from 1 species